GGAGGCAGCAGUGGGGAAUAUUGCACUAUGGGCGCAAGCCUGAUGCAGCCAUGCCGCGUGUAUGAAGAAGGCCUUCGGGUUGUAAAGUACUUUCAGCGGGGAGGAAGGGAGUAAAGUUAAUACCUUUGCUCAUUGACGUUACCCGCAGAAGAAGCACCGGCUAACUCCGUGCCAGCAGCCGCGGUAAUACGGAGGGUGCAAGCGUUAAUCGGAAUUACUGGGCGUAAAGCGCACGCAGGCGGUUUGUUAAGUCAGAUGUGAAAUCCCCGGGCUCAACCUGGGAACUGCAUCUGAUACUGGCAAGCUUGAGUCUCGUAGAGGGGGGUAGAAUUCCAGGUGUAGCGGUGAAAUGCGUAGAGAUCUGGAGGAAUACCGGUGGCGAAGGCGGCCCCCUGGACGAAGACUGACGCUCAGGUGCGAAAGCUGGGAGCAAAC
rnacentral:rRNA from 1 species